AGCACUCAGAGUGUCUUAAAACAAAAGAGCAUCUCCCAAAUUUUGCUUAUCACACCUUAGAUUACUAAUGCUGUAACGCUCUGGGCUGAAGGGGUAUGUCCCCCAUUAGACUCGUGCCUUCACCUCACUCUUCCCAGGUUUGUGUAGCACUGCCUUGCCACUAAGUGCAAUAAAUCUCCUUGUGUGGCUGCAUGAAUAGCCGAGGAAGCCCUUAUAUCACCAGCCGGCCCUGAGCUGCGCUGUGACUUUAUCUGACAACAGGCUCCUUGACCUACAGGCACCCCUUUAUGGCAUUCAUUCCCCAACCGGAGCCAGCAGCCCACUCACUAACCCUGCUGUCCGUCUUGCUGUAGAGCAGCACAGGAAACUGAAAAAUGGACCUCUCUGGGUUGCCACAACGGACUCGGCGUUGGUCAUUGAUCUUCUCUAAAAGCUUUCAAACCUCAAUAUGAAUUUUAUACAUAGAAGAGCAGACUCACUACCUCCACUCUGCAGUAAUCUGUUGCCUUUGGAGAGAUUAUGCACACAAGCCUUUGUAGUGCACUUGUACAAACCAGGCACAAAUGGACUCCCACUCCAUGGCAUCAAAGUUUUGGACAUUGGUUAUGAUAACAUGGUGCUCAGCAAAGCAACGUCUGAGAACAUGGCAACAACGGCACGACAAAGUUCACAAAGAGUUUAGUGAACGCACCCAACACACAGGAAACUGGUGCACAUGCACAACCGAGCAGCUCCUCACACCCGGACCUCAGCAGUUCAGCCGGUGAACACAGUAUCAUUAUUACUGAUGGGCAAAAUAAUGAUGAUGCAAAAAAUGAUGAAUUAUCAGCUGAGUUGUUUUAAUGUAAUUAAAAUCCUCUCAAUCUGCAAAAAGCUCUUUACAUUUUUUCUACUCAAUUUCCCUAU